rnacentral:rRNA from 1 species
UACGGAGGGUGCAAGCGUUAUCCGGAUUCACUGGGUUUAAAGGGAGCGUAGGCGGCCCUAUAAGUCAGUGGUGAAAUCUCUCGGCUUAACCGAGAAAUUGCCAUUGAUACUGUAGGGCUUGAGUACAGUUGCCGUUGGCGGAAUAUGACAUGUAGUGGUGAAAUACAUAGAGAUGUCAUAGAACACCGAUUGCGAAGGCAGCUAACGAAACUGUAACUGACGCUGAGGCUCGAAAGUGCGGGGAUCAAACAGG